rnacentral:pre_miRNA from 11 species
CGAGCGCCGUUGCAUGGAAGACUAGUGAUUUUGUUGUUCUACUUUCGAUAUAACAAGGAAUCACUAAUCAUCCUACAAAGGCGCUCG